rnacentral:rRNA from 1 species
AACGAACGCUGGCGGCAGGCCUAACACAUGCGAGUCGAACGCCCUGGCAACAGGGAGUGGCAGACGGGUGAGUAACGCGUGGGAACGUGCCCUUCGGUUCGGAAUAACUCAGGGAAACUUGAGCUAAUACCGGAUACGUGCGAGAGCAGAAAGAUUUAUCGCCGAAGGAUCGGCCCGCGUCCGAUUAGCUAGUUGGUGAGGUAACGGCUCACCAAGGCGACGAUCGGUAGCUGGUCUGAGAGAAUGAUCAGCCACACUGGGACUGAGACACGGCCCAGACUCCUACGGGAGGCAGCAGUGGGGAAUAUUGGACAAUGGGCGCAAGCCUGAUCCAGCCAUGCCGCGUGAGUGAUGAAGGCCCUAGGGUUGUAAAGCUCUUUCGCCAGGGACGAUAAUGACGGUACCUGGAUAAGAAGCCCCGGCUAACUUCGUGCCAGCCGCCGCUGUAA